GAUGAACGCUGGCGGCGUGCCUAAUACAUGCAAGUCGGGCGAACGGACGAGAAGCUUGCUUCUCUGAUGUUAGCGGCGGACGGGUGAGUCACACGUGUAUACUCUACCUAUAUGACUGGGAUAACUUCGGGACACCGGAGCUUAUACCGGAUAAUAUUUUGAACCGCAUGGUUCAAAAGUGAAAGUCGGUCUUUCUGUAACUUCUAGAUGGUUCCGCGCUGCAUUAGCUAGUUGGUAAGGUAACGGCUUACCAAGGCAACGAGGCAUAGCCGACGUGAGAGGGUGAUCGGCCGCACUGGAAGUGAGACACGGUCCAUACUCCUACGGGAGGCAGCAGUAGGGAAUCUUCCGCAAUGGGCGAAAGCCUGACGGAGCAACGCCGCGUGAGUGAUGAAGGUCUUCGGAUCGUAAAACUCUGUUAUUAGGGAAGAACAUAUGUGUAAGUAACUGUGCACAUCUUGACGGUACCUAAUCAGAAAGCCACGGCUAACUACGUG
rnacentral:rRNA from 1 species